GUUGAUUAUACAGAUGUGUGCUAUAUGUGGCGAUAUUCGCCGAGUGGUUCGGGAACUCGUCUUGCUUCAUUAGCUCUAUGUAAGAUGGAAUCUAUCCACUCUUGCGACGUCUGAUCUGUCCCGGUCGCGAUUCCUGGGCUUCAUGAAUGGGAGUGGCCUCUCGCAAGAAGAUAAUGGGUUUUCCCAGAUCCACCGGAGGUUGAGCCCAAUUUUUAGUCAUAGGAAAGCGCUAAAAUUAUAUAAGUCAUCCAUGUCCCACCUGGGGAAAAGCCAGAGAAAGAGCCAAAGUCGCCAGGAAAGUCAGAAUCAGGAUUAGUUUCAUUGUGUGCUUGUAAGCGAUAUGGAA